AAGAGUACGUGAACCCGUUCAGGGGUAACCCUGUGAAACCUAAAAGAUCGAAUGAAGAGAUUCAUCGUCAGCAUCUUCAGUAUUAAUACAAACUAUGAUGUGAUAAUAGAAUCCUUGUGGUCACUAGAUUAUACUUGUUUGUAUUAUUUCGCUGGAUAUUGUCGGCGUGCACUUCUCUUCUAGUAGAACGUCGCGACUCGUUAAACGUUUAUCUAUGGUCUAAUUGAUUGCCUUUAAUAUUUUAUUAUAUUAAAAAUCAUUAGUGUCCUGAUAAACUGUUUGACGGUAUUAUUAUGGUAUUGAGCCGCAAUUAUAUGCGUUAGAUUUACCGCAAGCAAGACUUUAUUCUAGUAGUGCGGAUUUAAUGCCGUCGCUGGAAAUUGUCUACUGUUAGCAGUGUAAAAUUCUCUAACUGGCUUAUCUUAUUACCGGUCAGCGAUGCUACUGCUUUGGGUAC
rnacentral:rRNA from 1 species